GACGAACGCUGGCGGCGUGCUUAACACAUGCAAGUCGAACGGUAAGGCCCUUCGGGGUACACGAGUGGCGAACGGGUGAGUAACACGUGGGUGAUCUGCCCUGCACUUCGGGAUAAGCCUGGGAAACUGGGUCUAAUACCGGAUAGGACCACUGCCUGCAUGGGUGGUGGUGGAAAGCUUUUGCGGUGUGGGAUGGGCCCGCGGCCUAUCAGCUUGUUGGUGGGGUGAUGGCCUACCAAGGCGACGACGGGUAGCCGGCCUGAGAGGGUGACCGGCCACACUGGGAGUGAGAUACUGCCCAGACUCCUACGGGAGGCAGCAGUGGGGAAUAUUGCACAAUGGGCGCAAGCCUGAUGCAGCGACGCCGCGUGAGGGAUGACGGCCUUCGGGUUGUAAACCUCUUUCAGCACCGACGAAGCGCAAGUGACGGUAGGUGCAGAAGAAGGACCGGCCAACUACGUGCCAGCCGCCGCAGUAA
rnacentral:rRNA from 1 species